UAGAUUACUGUAAGGAAAGAAGGGUAGCGGUCCCUUUGAGAAGGAUGGAAAAGGUCCUAUAUACAACAUAUAUCCAGUUAAGGCAUUCCUACCUACUUGUGGCUUCGAACCAUUUUUUCUC
rnacentral:ncRNA from 1 species